AUAUACAAAAUGUAAAUAUAAACAAAUAACUUUUCGUUGAGAGAAACUCUCGUUAUUUAUGCUUAUCGAUUGGCCGAAACUGCUGUAGGUGCCUGGCGAUAAUUCGGCAUUGUUUAUGGCUGUUGACGCUAGAUGGCGCUCGACACGUUGUCCACAAAUUAAAAGCCCCGGCGAAAGGCGUUGAUUAGGCCCGAUAAAAUUCAUUAACUAAACACACAGUGGCCUGAGUAGUCGCCUAGGCAAGCACGAUUCAAGCAUUUUAAUAAUGCAGACAACACAAUUUGUGGUCUGCAGGAGAGAUGCGAGCUGAAUAGGCAGGGGGCCUAGGGACGGUACUAGCAGCAGCUAAAUGAGAUGUAAUUGAGACGCUGCGGCUGGGAUUUUUGCGUGUUUUGCGGCCUUAAUUGGAAAUACGAGUGCGGUUAGUAAAUUGUUUUGAAGAGUGUGCAAACUUCUUCAAGUCAAUAUUAUAAAGUAACUAUGCAUAGGCUGUGCGUUCAGUGUCGUGUGUUUGAGCUUUCGUUAGCAGCUCAGCCCAAGUUGGAAAUUUAGUUUUUGAAAUGAAAUUUAAGUAUCAAAGCAAACACUCAGCUCUCAAAAUAAUUAAAAGUAUUGCACGAAAUUUGGCAAAAGCACUGACUAAAUCAUUCUUUUAUCUGGGCACCCCAACACUUUGUCCCGCACAGCAGUUGGCCCUGGUCAGCUGCUUCCAUCCGCACUACAGCAUCUCGUAUUGGUCUCAUUGUCAUCUGUGUGCGUGUCGUAAUGCUGGACACAUUUCUGUAUGUGCUCUAUGAGUUCCUCAAGUACGUUUUCCCGAUACGCAUCCUCAAUGAACUCGACGAUCUGGUAUUGCCCAGCGAGACGGAGUAUAGUGUCUGGCAUGAUAUCUAAGGCCGCCGCAUUUUCUUUAAUCUCUGUCUCGUUUAAUAUUUAUUCUGUCUAUUUGAUAUGGCAACUAAUUGAUUGAUGAUGAUGUUGCUGUGCGGCAAGAGUUUCCAAUAAAAAGCAUUCCUGAGCCUAAA